CAAAAACAUGUCCUUUUGUUUAUAAAUAUAAGGUCUAGCCUGCCCAAUGAUUUAUUGAAUGGCCGCGGUAUUUUAACUGUGCUAAGGUAGCAUAAUCACUUGUCUUUUAAUUGAAGGCUAGAAUGAAUGGCUGGACGAGAUAUAAGCUUUCUUUAACUUAAUUUUAGAAUUUAAUUUUUUAGUCAAAAAGCUAAAAUUUAUUUGAGGGACGAGAAGACCCUAUAGAUCUUUAUAUUUUUUGUUAUUAUAUAUUUUAGUAUAUUUAUUAUUAUAAUAAUUUAACAUAUUUGGUUGGGGCGACUGUAAAAUUUUUAGUAACUUUUAUUUAUUAAAAUUCAUUUAUAUAUGUGUUCUUGAUCCAAUAUUAUUGAUUAUAAGAUUAAGUUACCUUAGGGAUAACAGCGUAAUUCUUUCGGAGAGUCCUUAUCGAUGAAGGAGUUUGCGACCUCCAUGUUGGAUUAAAAUUAGUUGUAGGUGCAGGAGCUUGCAUACUAGGUCUGUUCGACCUUUAAAUUUUUACAUGAUCUGAGUUC
rnacentral:rRNA from 1 species